CCAUGAGGAGCAAGCCAGUGAGCAGCACCCUCCACGGCCUCUGCAUCAGCUCCUGCCUCCAGGUUCCUGCCCUGUUUGAACUCCUGUUCUGACUCCCUUUGGUAUACAGAGAAGGAAGACCUCUUUGUCCUGGAUUUUCUGGGUCAGAUGGACAAACCUCUGGGUGGUCCAGGCUAUAAAUACUGCUGCUUAUGAGACAAUAGAAGAUCCAGGAUCCUUGGUUCCGGAGGAGGGAAAAGUACCUGCCUGGGGGAAUCCAGUGGUGUUGGGGAUCGAGGCCUCCAGAGAAGGGUUUUCAUCCUUCUGGAGACACAAACUGCAGCAUAGAAAUGCAAGAAACACGAAAAGCUAGACACACAGCGACACAAAAUACAACUCCCGGACAAGCUCACAGCUCUUCGGUAACUCAACCCAAAGACAAUGGAGUGGCAGACACGCCAGCCACUAGCAUUCAAGUGUAAAGCCUUGUCUUAAAAAGCUGUGUGACCUCAAAGAGUAUUCAGACAAGCAAAUGGGAUCAAGUCAAGAUAUGGACAAGAAAUUUAGCAACCUGGAUAAGAAAUUCUACAGAGGACUGAAAAAUCAUGAAAAAGGAAUAUCUUGAAAUCAGAAUGCUCAAUAAAUAAAAUCAAGAAACCCAAUGGAAACACCACCAAUAGAAUAAGAAGACAAAAGAAAGAACACCAGGGAUUGAAAUGGGUCAUUAGAACAGGUAGCAAUAACUGAAAAGCUAAUCACGACUUCAACAUGCGAGGCCCCGUGAUGCGAUUAAGAGAUGAAACCUACAAGUCUGUGGUGUAAAAGAAGGGGCAUGAGAUACAGACUUAAGGGACAUCCGAAUAAGGGAGGUAUUUUAGAAUAUCCAAUAAGGAGGGCAGAAAAGAACCUCUCUGUACUGUACUUAAGAUGACGAGAGUGCAGAACAAAAACAGACUAUGGAAAGCCUCAAGGCACAAGGGCCAACACUGGGGUAACCACAGACCUCCCACCAGAAACUCUAAAGGCAGAAGAGCACAGACUGAUAUAGUCUAAAUCCUGACGGGAAGUAACGGCUAACCAAGAUCACCCCCUCCACUAAAGUUAGCUAUCCUUUAAAGUCAAAGGGUAGGACCAACAAGACAGCUCAGUGGGCAAUGCAUUUGCUGCACAAGCCUGACUGUGUAAAUUCUAUUCUCUGAGUCCUGUAAAGACAGAAGGAGAGGAGGGCUCUAUAGAGAUGUCCUGUGACCUCCACAUAGGCUCCUUAGGAUAUGUAUGCUUACACACAUCAUAUAUACACAGCAGCACAAAAUUGAACUAGAAAUAAAGUCCUUCCAGAUAGGUAUAAGCUAAAGCAACUCAUGACUCAAAUAUUGCUAAAGCAAUAGAGACUACCACAACAGUGCCAGAGAUAUUACAGGAGUAUUACAU